CACGUAGGGUGCGAGCGUUGUCCGGAAUUAUUGGGCGUAAAGAGCUCGUAGGCGGUGUGUCGCGUCGGCCGUGAAAACCUGCAGCUUAACUGUGGGCUUGCGGUCGAUACGGGGCAUCACUGGAGUUCGGCAGGGGGAGACUGGAAUUCCUGGUGUAGCGGUGAAAUGCGCAGAUAUCAGGGAGGGAAACACCCGGGUGGGCGAAAGGCGGGGUCUCUGGGG
rnacentral:rRNA from 1 species